rnacentral:rRNA from 1 species
ACUUCGUGCCAGCAGCCGCGGUAAUACGAGGGGAGCAAGCGUUGUUCGGAUUUAUUGGGCGUAAAGGGUUCGUAGGCGGGUUGAUCAGUCAAAAUUUAAAUCCAAUGGCUUAACCAUUGAUCUGGUUUUGAUACUGUCAAUCUUGAGUUAUAUAGAGGUAAGCGGAAUUCCUGGUGUAGCGGUGAAAUGCGUAGAUAUCAGGAGGAACACCAAUGGCGAAAGCAGCUUACUGGGUAUAUACUGACGCUGAGGAACGAAAGCGUGGGUAGCAAACAGGAUUAGAGACCCUGGUAGUCCACGCCGUAAACGAUGAGCACUUGGUGGUAGAGGCUUCGACCCCUGUACUGCCGUAGUUAACGCGUUAAGUGCUCCGCCUGGGGACUACGACCGCAAGGUUGAAACUCAAAGAAAUUGACGGGGACCCGCACAAGCGGUGGAUUAUGUGGUUUAAUUCGAUGCAACGCGAAGAACCUUACCUGGAUUUGACAUAUUUUUGAAAUCUCUACGAAAGUAGAGACUUUUUUAAGCUUGCUUAAAAACAAUUAUACAGGUGAUGCAUGGCUGUCGUCAGCUCGUGUCGUGAGAUGUUCGGUUAAGUCCGAUAACGAGCGCAACCCCUAUCCUUAGUUGCCAGCACGUAAUGGUGGGGACUCUAGGGAAACUGCCCGGGAUAACCGGAAGGAAGGUGGGGUCGACGUCAAGUCAGUAUGUCCCUUACAUUCAGGGCUACACACGUAAUACAAUGGGAAAUACAGUGGGUUGCGAAAUCGCGAGAUGGAGCUAAUCUCAAAAAAUUUCCCCAAGUUCGGAUUGCAGUCUGCAACUCGACUGCAUGAAGCAGGAAUCGCUAGUAAUCGCUCAUCAGCAUGGAGCGGUGAAUACGUUCCCGGGUCUUGUACACACCGCCCGUCACGCCAUGGAAGCUGGUCGCGCUCGAAUACAGUGCCUUAACCUUCGGGAAAGAG